UAAGUAUGUGGUGAAGAAGACACGUUAAAGCAUUCCCCUAGUAAUUGCGAAUGUAGAGGGACAGGCUCAGAGUGGAAAUGAUGGCAGGAUGUCCUGACUUGUUAUACUGUGAACCGCUACCACUGGUGGUGCAGGCCUACACAGCCCUUGGAAACUGGCAUUGAUAAGGGUGAAAAUCCUGAGUACCGACUGCAUUUCUCACUAUAUAGUGUGCCUUCUGAGAGUUGUGUUCCUUGGAAUUGGUGUGCAAAUAAGGGUUGUAGUUGUUGUUUAAAGCUGAAUCCACGUUUGAGACCAAUAGUGAACACGUACCAUGAGGGAACAGUCAAAUAUAACUCUGUGAAGGGAGGUGGAUGUCCAUGAACCUGUUGAAAAGGGAAGUGAAGGAGAGCAGGGCAACCUGGUGAUGCUGCUGCAUGCAAGCACGCAUGCAUGCUUUAUCUUUGCUCUGUGGCAGUAUGUCUGAAGCAGGAUGUGUGCAGUCUAUGUCACCCUGUGAGUCAGGGUCAUUUAAGUUCUUGCUAUGAGCAGCAUGGGGUGCCAGUCGACCAUCCCAGGAUGGGUAACUGUGUCUUGGUGGAUGCUUGCAUGUGCUACCUGGUAACUUUAUGGACGCCUUUGCCCCGUCUUGAAACGCGGACCAAGAAGGCUCACAUGUGUGUUAGCUCAUGGGUGGCAAAAAUUUAUGUGUGCGCAGUUACUAUGCUGGUUGGUCAAGUUUCAUCAGCAAACGGCUAUUUGACAAUGAAAGUCUGAGCAUGAACAUGCCUGCUAGGACCCGAAAGAUGGUGAACUAUGCCAGUGAAGGGCAACAUCAGGAGAAAUCAUGAUUGAGGCUUGCAGUGAUACUAACGUGCAAAUUGUUCCUUAUAGGUUGGUCUAUGGGGUGAAAGACUAAUCGAGUUAUCUAGUAGCUGGUUCUAUCUGAAGUUUCCCUCAGGAUAGCUGGAUAUGAUCAACUUUACCAGGUAAAGCUUCUGAUUAGAGGACAUUCAGGUCUGUGCCCUCGACCAACUCUCAAACUCUAAAUAUGUGAGGAAUGCAGUGGCUGUGUGUGUGAACUCUAAAUCAUGUGGCACUUCUAAGUGGACCAGGUUUGGUAAGCAGAAUUGGUGAUGGGGAAUAAACCUACUGUUGGGAUAACAUGCUUAGUUGCUCCUUCAGGGGAUAUUACAAAAGGGAGUUGGCCCAUCUUAACAGCAGGAUGGUGGUCAUGGAAGUUGAAAACUGCUGAGGAGUGUGUAACAACUCACCUGCCGAAUGGACUGGCCCUGAAAAUGGAUGGCGCUCAAGUGGAUGACUGACCCCCAAUCAAAGUGGCACAUGUGCAGCGAUGGAGAAUAGGAGGGUAUGGUGGUGUGUAAUGAAGUUUGUGGUGUAGUCCUUGGUUGAACCACCCCUGGU
rnacentral:rRNA from 1 species